UACUCGAGUGGCGAACGGGUGAGUAACACGUGGGUGAUCUGCCCUGCACUUCGGGAUAAGCUUGGGAAACUGGGUCUAAUACCGGAUAGGAGCCAUCUUUAGUGUGGUGGUUGGAAAGUUUUUUCGGUGUAGGAUGAGAUCGCGGCCUAUCAGCUUGUUGGUGGGGUAAUGGCCUACCAAGGCGGCGACGGGUAGCCGGCCUGAGAGGGUGUACGGCCACAUUGGGACUGAGAUACGGCCCAG
rnacentral:rRNA from 1 species